AAUGUCCUCAUUUAAAAUCGCUGGAAACGGUGCUUUAAAGAAUCAAAACUGGUUUAGCACACCAAACCAUCUGACUUUCUCUCCAACUGAAACUGCCUCACUGGUUCUUCUCGCUCGAAACCAAUCUUUGCUUCAUUUCGUGUGGGAAAUGGAUGACUCUCGUGUGGAACCAAUCUAGCAUGAGAUUUUUUCAGCACGAAGCGCCAUUAUUGAUGAAGAAUACUGGGUGAGUAAGACAAUUCUCUUGAUUCCGACCGAACCCAUCUUCUUCUUCUCGAGAUUAACUUUUGGUUCGUGUUUGUGAUUGACAGCGGCAGCUUGGCUACGUGCAGAGAGAGAGAGUCAUUGGGAAGAUGGUGCUAAAUGAUCCUUAGGAGAUAUGUUGAUAACUUCAAAAGAAGGAGUUCAAUGCCAUAAAAAAAACAAGGAUGUAAAAGGAAGAGCUCCAAGGCCAGAAUUGUUCCUGCAGUAUCCGUCGCGGUUGCUGGGGAUAGUAGUAGGAAAAAAAAAGCAAGUGAAAGAACUAAGGAGGAAGCUUCAAGGUGAAGAUUGUGUGUUCUGAGCUGUUUCUAGCUCCGAGUCCCUCCCUGGUGAGUGGUGAGUCUCCCUCAACUUCUUUUAUAAUAAUUGUUGUUUGUUCUGCGGAAUGUCUUACGUAGAGGAGGAUCCUAGUCACUAAACUC